UGGGGAAUAUUGCACAAUGGGCGCAAGCCUGAUGCAGCCAUGCCGCGUGUAUGAAGAAGGCCUUCGGGUUGUAAAGUACUUUCAGCGGGGAGGAAGGGAGUAAAGUUAAUACCUUUGCUCAUUGACGUUACCCGCAGAAGAAGCACCGGCUAACUCCGUGCCAGCAGCCGCGGUAAUACGGAGGGUGCAAGCGUUAAUCGGAAUUACUGGGCGUAAAGCGCACGCAGGCGGUUUGCUAAGUCAGAUGUGAAAUCCCCGGGCUCAACCUGGGAACUGCAUCUGAUACUGGCAAGCUUGAGUCUCGUAGAGGGGGGUAGAAUUCCAGGUGUAGCGGUGAAAUGCGUAGAGAUCUGGAGGAAUACCGGUGGCGAAGGCGGCCCCCUGGACGAAGACUGACGCUCAGGUGCGAAAGCGUGGGGAGCAAACAGG
rnacentral:rRNA from 1 species